AUUGAACGCUGGCGGCAGGCCUAACACAUGCAAGUCGAGCGAGUGGCGGACGGGUGAGUAAUGUCUCUGAACCUGCCUGAGAGAGGGGGAUAACUACUGGGACAGGUAGCUAAUACCGCAUACCCUCGGAUAUGCCCAGUUGGGAUUAGGUAGUUGGUGGGGUAAAGGCUCACCAAGGCGACAAUCCGUAGCUGGUCUGAGAGGAGGACCAGCCACACUGGAACUGAUACACGGUCCAGACUCCUACGGGAGGCAGCAGUGGGGAAUAUUGCACAAUGGGCGCAAGCCUGAUGCAGCCAUGCCGCGUGUAUGAAGAAGGCCUUCGGGUUGUAAAGUACUUUAAUCGGGGAGGCGUUACCUGCAGAAGAAGCACCGGCUAACUCCGUGCCAGCAGCCGCGGUAAUUC
rnacentral:rRNA from 1 species